GAUGAACGCUGGCGGCGUGCCUAAUACAUGCAAGUCGAGCGAACAGACGAGGAGCUUGCUCCUCUGACGUUAGCGGCGGACGGGUGAGUAACACGUGGAUAACCUACCUAUAAGACUGGGAUAACUUCGGGAAACCGGAGCUAAUACCGGAUAAUAUAUUGAACCGCAUGGUUCAAUAGUGAAAGACGGUUUUGCUGUCACUUAUAGAUGGAUCCGCGCCGCAUUAGCUAGUUGGUAAGGUAACGGCUUACCAAGGCAACGAUGCGUAGCCGACCUGAGAGGGUGAUCGACCACACUAGAACUGAGACACGGUCCGGACUCCUACGGGAGGCAGCAGUAGGGAAUCUUCCGCAAUGGGCGAGAGCCUGACGGAGCAACGCCGCGUGAGUGAUGAAGGUCUUCGGAUCGUAAAACUCUGUUAUUAGGGAAGAACAAAUGUGUAAGUAACUAUGCACGUCUUGACGGUACCUAAUCAGAAAGCCACGGCUAACUACGUG
rnacentral:rRNA from 1 species